GCCUGAGAAACGGCUACCACAUCCAAGGAAGGCAGCAGGCGCGUAAAUUGCCCGAAUCCUGACACAGGGAGGUAGUGACAAGAAAUAACAAUACAGGGCAUCCAUGUCUUGUAAUUGGAAUGAGUAGAAUUUAAAUCCCUUUGCGAGUAUCGAUUGGAGGGCAAGUCUGGUGCCAGAAGCCGCGGUAAUUCCAGCUCCAAUAGCGUAUAUUAAAGUUGUUGCGGUUAAAAAGCUCGUAGUUGGAAUUUAAA
rnacentral:rRNA from 18 species